UACGUAGGCAGCAAGCGUUGUCCGGAUUUACUGGGCGUAAAGAGCGCGCAGGCGGUCGUGCAAGUCGCGUGUGAAAGCCCCCGGCUCAACUGGGGAGGGUCACGCGAUACUGCUCGACUCGAAGGCAGGAGAGGGAAGUGGAAUUCCCGGUGUAGUGGUGAAAUGCGUAGAUAUCGGGAGGAACACCAGUGGCGAAGGCGACUUCCUGGCCUGUUCUUGACGCUGAGGCGCGAAAGCUAGGGUAGCAAACGGG
rnacentral:rRNA from 1 species